UACGUAGGGUGCGAGCGUUAAUCGGAAUUACUGGGCGUAAAGCGUGCGCAGCGGUUUUGUAAGCCAGGUGUGAAAUCCCCGGGCUCAACCUGGGAAUGGCAUUUGGGACUGCAAGGCUGGAGUGCGGGCAGAGGAGACUGGAAUUCCUGGUGUAGCAGUGAAAUGCGUAGAUAUCAGGAGGAACACCGAUGGCGAAGGCAGGUCUCUGGGCAGUAACUGACGCUGAGGAGCGAAAGACGUGGGGGAGCGAACAGG
rnacentral:rRNA from 1 species